AGCCCGUGUGGCAUAGUUAGUUAGCGCAUAUCAUUGGUAAUGAUAAGGUCGGGGGUGCAAUUCCCCCCACGGGCUUC
rnacentral:tRNA from 1 species